CGGGGAGCGUCAUUGCGGUGUCGAAAGUUGUCGCGUAAGGACCUGUCAAUUUUCGUUGUUAGCGAUUUAUUAAUUAACUGCGUAGUAUCUUCACUCAUAUUCCACUGCCUUCGUACGCUAUUAUUAGGUUACUCGACCAUAGCGGGACGAUAACUGGGAAUUCAAAAUAGCGUCGUUUGGACGCCAUGAUGAUUAACAGUCAACUUGUCAGCUUCUCAUGGAGAUUGAGUUAGAUAUUUCACAACCUGUACUUCUACCGUAAGGUUUGAUGAUUCUUCCGGGAUGACGGCCUUCACGGUGGUUUCCUCUGAGCUACGUCAACAUUGUCGACAUCGUUCUUCGUAUGUAAUUGUGAGUCGCAUGCUUUUUGUUCCUCUGGUCACUCAAUCAUGUCGUAGGAUGAAAGGUCCGAAUCGACACGGGUGACUGGUUGUAUCACGUAGAAUUUUUUACGAGCAUAGUGACCGCGAGUAUUUAUUAUACCCGUGAGUGGUAAUACAUAUUUCCUUUUCAUGCGUUUUAUUUAUUAGUUCAGG